rnacentral:rRNA from 1 species
UGGGGAAUUUUGGACAAUGGGGGAACCCUGAUCCAGCCAUCCCGCGUGUGCGAUGAAGGCCUUCGGGUUGUAAAGCACUUUUGGCAGGAAAGAAACGUCGCGGGGUUAAUACCCCUGCGAAACUGACGGUACCUGCAGAAUAAGCACCGGCUAACUACGUGCCAGCAGCCGCGGUAAUACGUAGGGUGCAAGCGUUAAUCGGAAUUACUGGGCGUAAAGCGUGCGCAGGCGGUUCGGAAAGAAAGAUGUGAAAUCCCAGAGCUUAACUUUGGAACUGCAUUUUUAACUACCGGGCUAGAGUGUGUCAGAGGGAGGUGGAAUUCCGCGUGUAGCAGUGAAAUGCGUAGAUAUGCGGAGGAACACCGAUGGCGAAGGCAGCCUCCUGGGAUAACACUGACGCUCAUGCACG